UGACUAAUUAGGUUAAAUAACAACAUUGAAACAGAUCUAGAAUCAUACCUUUGAGUUCCUUGUUGAUCUUGAGGUCUUGGAGCUUCUAGAGUCACAAGUGUCACUCCUCUAAUGGCUUACAAACACCAAUAGCAAUAAGAAUGAUUUAGGAGAGAGGAGAGGGGAGGAAUUCGACCAGAGUUCUCUUGCUUUUUCAGAAGUGUCGAAUUCCCUAUGCCAUGGGGUCUAUUUAUACUUGUAGACUCCUUAAGGAUUACAGAUAAGUCCCUAUCAGAUAAUCUUCUCUUAAGGCUAUCCAAAUCCAUUCCUAGAUAACUCUAAUGGACGAUUUUAGCUAUCCUAAUCCUCUUAGAAUUCGUCCAUAGCAUAUCCAAAUGGAUUUACAGUCUAAAGCUUAACUAUCAAACAAUUGACAGUUUAUACCCCUUUAUUUAAUUAAUCUCUUUAAGUCACCAAAUUAAUUCUAAUUAAUUCUAUGACUUAUAUUAAUCAAAUAACAAAUAUAUUAUUCAUUAUAUUAUUCUCAUAAUAUAUUAAUAAUAUUUACUCUCUCUUAAUAAAUCAUCCUAUCAAGUUGCUAUGGUGAAGGCAACCCAAAAGGACCAUGCACAACCGGAUCAAAUACUUGCCUAAUAUAGUUACAGCCUUAGACACUAUUCCAACAGUCUCCCACUUGGAUAAGUCUAGUAACUAUACAAGUACAAUUCGGUUUGCAAUCGUAGCUCUCAAAGACGCUGUCAACUCUGAUCUAAUCAAUCUUGUCCUUUAGAUAAGGGAACGUACAGUCCUCUGUUAGAUAUCAUGCUGACAAUCCUAUGGAAUGGUUAGUCAAGCAUUUAGGUUUCUCGAUCUCUGAUUUAUUUGACAUAGAACUUAAUCGAACACAUCAAUUCAGUUCUGACCGGGCCCGGCACAUAAGUCAAAUCAAAUCAUCGAGCGGCCGAGAUAUCGCUUUUACCUUCUUAGAUAAAAGUUACAGAUAAACUUCGACUUAUAUGCAUUUACUUAUUCAUUUACCAACUAUACACAACAAUACGUUUUAUAACACCAAGUUACUGAUGCGUUUUCGUAUUAUCAAUGUACAAUCAAUUAACAAAUAAUAAACCAUAUAUCUAGGUUUUAAGACUAUAUGAUAUUAUCGUCUUGCGAUCACCUUUUAUAUCGUAUUCCAUAAGGUGAUUCCAGCAAGCGCGGGUUUAUUCCAAUGCUCAAAACUAGUUCAUAAGCACUCAUGAACGUUGCAGCAAUCCUUUGCUAUGUCUAACACCAUUUAGACAUUCUACACACCAAUUCAUGACAAUCUUCAUUCAUAUCUACUCCCAACAUAUGAACGAUUGUGGACCAUUUGAACAAUUCGAUUAUUCCUAAUAAACUCAAUUAUUCUGGAAGUCAAAACAUGCAAAGUGAAACAAUAGCUAAACAAUUAACAUAAGAUAGUAACAUUACUCAUAAAUAAAACUCCUUUAUUUAAUCAUCAAAUGUUAAUUACAUUUAUCUAUUACACGUUUCUAAUACUAUCUAAUCUAUGCUAAUAUCAUCCUUCAGCCCAAUACUCCUAGCAUGCUGCAAGUGCUUAACCCUACUCAGUCCCUUCGUAAGCGGAUCUGCUGGGUUAUCUUCUGAUGAUAUCCUCUUCACUACGAGUUGUCCUUCUUCUACACGAUGUCUAAUGAAGUGAUACUUUCUGUCGAUAUGUCUUGAUCUACCAUGAUCCCUCGGUUCCUUGGUUAAGGCAACCGCGCCUUCGUUAUCACAGAAAAUCUCCAUUGGCUCCUUUAUGGCAGGUACAACUCCAAGAUCACCGAUGAAGUUCUUUAGCCAUAUUGCCUCCUUCGACGCUUCGCUCGCUGCAAUGUACUCUGAUUCGCACGUUGAAUCAGCUACGGUUUCCUGCUUGGAACUCUUCCAUGUCACUGCUCCUCCAUUUAGGGUAAAGACCCAGCCCGACUGCGAACGGUAGUUGUCCCUGUCGGUCUGAAAACUGGCGUCACUAUACCCUCGCACCUUCAAGUCAUCACUCCCUCCGAGGACUAAGAACCAUUCCUUCGUCCUCCGAAGGUACUUAAGGAUAUUCUUCACCGCAAUCCAAUGUGCUUUGCCAGGAUUCCCUUGAUAUCUGCUAACCAUGCUCAAAGCGAAGGCUACAUCAGGGCGAGUACAAGUCAUAGCGUACAUGAUUGAGCCAACUGCGGAAGCGUAUGGUACUCGGCUCAUUUCUGCUAUCUCAGCUUCGGUACUCGGACUUUGAGUCUUACUCAAUUUGGCAUUACUUUGUAUCGGUAGUUCUCCCUUCUUUGAGUUUUCCAUACUAAAACGUUUUAGUACCUUCUCUAAGUAAGUAUUCUGACUAAGUCCAAUUAGUCUCUUACUUCUUUCUCUUACUAUCCUUAUUCCCAAAAUGUAAGAAGCCUCUCCGAGGUCCUUCAUAGCGAAGCACUUCCCGAGCCAGGACUUAACCUCCUGCAGAGUCGGGAUGUCGUUUCCUAUGAGUAAUAUGUCAUCGACAUAUAGAACGAGGAAGCUUACUAUACUCCCACUGGCUUUGACAUAUACACAAGAUUCGUCUUCGCUUCGUACAAAUCCAAACUCUUUGACUUUCUCAUCGAAGCAAAGAUUCCAUCUGCGAGACGCUUGCUUAAGUCCAUAAAUGGACUUCUCAAGCUUACACACUCUAUCCGGAUGCUUCGGAUCCACAAACCCCUCUGGCUGAGCCAUGUAAACAUCCUCAGCCAACUUUCCGUUAAGGAAAGCGGUCUUGACAUCCAUUUGCCAAAUCUCAUAAUCAUGAAAUGCGGCAAUAGCUAGCAUCACUCUAAUAGAUUUAAUCUUCGCAACUGGUGAGAAGGUCUCAUCAUAGUCAACUCCGGGAGUUUGAGUAAAGCCCUUCGCAACCAAUCGCGCUUUAUAUGUGUGUACGUUUCCAUCCACGUCGGUCUUCUUCUUGAAGAUCCAUUUGCACCCAACGGUCUUACGUCCGGGCACAUAAUCAACCAAAUUCCAAACUUGGUUAUCAUACAUGGAUUGGAUCUCGCUAUCCAUUGCCUCUUUCCAUUUUGCAGACUCCGGGCCUGCCAUGGCUUCCUUAUAGCUAUUAGGUUCAUCAAGAUUUACUAGUGUACCAUCACUAAUAUACGUGUCCCCUUCGGUAGUAAUAUGAAAGCCAUAAAACUGGGGAUGAACUCUAACUCUAUCGGAACGUCUAAGAGGUAAGGAUUCGUCAAUCGGUUCAACCGGAGUUUCCUCCUCGGGUUGAGUGCCAGCGGUAGAGGUUCCUUCAUCUAUCGACUCUUGAAUCUCUUCAAGUUCGAUUUGCCUCCCACUGUCUCCUUGGCUUAUGAGUUCUCGCUCUCGGAAAACUCCUCUCCUCGCAACGAAGACAACAUUGUCCUUCGGUCUAUAGAAGAGAUAUCCAAAGGAUGUCUGCGGGUAGCCGAUGAAAAUACAUCGCUCACUUCGAGGUUCAAGCUUGUCGUGAGUAUCUCGUCUUACGAAAGCCUCGCAACCCCAAACCUUGAUAUGUGCCAACGAGGGAGCUUUCCCUGUCCACAUCUCGUGAGGUGUUUUGGCAACCUUCUUAGUAGGGACUCGGUUAAGGAUAUGGGCGGCAGUCUCUAAGGCAUACCCCCAAAAAGAGAUUGGUAGUGAAGCACGACUCAUCAUAGAGCGAACCAUAUCCAAUAAGGUUCGAUUACGCCUUUCUGCCACACCAUUCAACUGCGGUGUCCUAGGAGGCGUCAAUUGUGAAACUAUUCCACACUCCUUGAGAUAAUCGUGGAAUUCAAGACUUAGGUACUCUCCUCCUCGAUCGGAUCGAAGCAUCUUGAUUUUCCUGCCCAAUUGAUUCUCCACUUCAUUCUUGAACUCUUUGAACUUUUCAAAGGUGUCUGACUUUUGCUUGAUUAAGUAGAUAUACCCAUAUCUACUAUAGUCAUCGGUAAAAGUCACAUAGAAGCGGUUCCCAUCCUUCGUGGUUGAUCUAAACGGUCCACAUACAUCGGUAUGUAUUAGGUCCAAUAGACCCUCGCCCCUUUCACAUGUACUCGUGAAGGGUGACUUAGUCAUCUUUCCAAGCAAACAAGACUCGCAUGUGUCAUCUUCCCUAAGGUCGAAUGACUCCAACACUCCAUCCUUUUGGAGUUGGGCUAUGCGUUUCUUGUUGACAUGUCCAAGACGACAAUGCCACAAGGAUGCUUUAUCCAUACUAGUGGAAGAAUCAAUAUUCAAAACAUCAUUUCCUAAGUUAUCAACAAUCAUAACGGUUUCAUAUAUUCCAUUACAUGGUAUAGCUUCAAAGUAAAAGACACCAUUUAGAUAAGCCAAAAUAGAACCAUUCUCAUUAUUAAAAGAAAAUCUAAAUCCUUGUCUAUAUAAACCAUGAAAUGAAAUGAUGUUUCUUGCCAUUUCUGGCGAAUAGCAACAAUUGUUCAAAUCUAAAACUAAACUAUUCCUAAGCACUAAGGAAUACACUCCAAUCUUGGUCACAGGCGACGAUCUUCUGUUCCCCAUGAUUAGAUUGAUCCUUCCUUGCUCCACAUCCCUACUUCUUCUUAGUCCCUGCACAUUAGAACAAAUGUGAUAACCACAACCGGUAUCAAGAACCCAAGAAAUAGCAUGAUUAGAAUCGUUAGAUUUGAUUGUGUAUAUACCUGCGAAAGAUGGCUUGAUCUUUCCUUCUUUGAUUGCUUGCAGGUAAUCUGGGCAGCUUCUCUUCCAAUGUCCUAUCUUGUGGCAGUGGUGGCACUCUGCCUCCUUCGGGUUAGAGCAGGGCUUAGCGGGAUCAACUUUGGUCCCACUAGAAGAGGCACCAUCUCGGGCUUUCACCUUGCGAUAGUUCUUCGAUGAAGCUUUCCUCUUCUUUCCCUUCCCUUGUCCAAUAGCCAAGACAGGAGCAGCGGGCGGAUUGGGAGUAGGUGCAACAGACUUGUCCUUGAAGUUGCUCUCAGCAACCCUCAAGAGACCUUGGAGUUUGCUUAGGGUGACCUCUUCUUUGUUCAUGUGGUAGGUCAUCCUAAAUUGGUUGUACAUCGGAGGCAAAGAGUGAAGCACCAUGUCGAUCGCCAAGUCUUCACCGAAGUCAACAUUUAACUUGCGAAGGCGGUCGACAUACCUUUGCAUCUUUUGCAAGUGCACGGUAAGAGAUUCUCCAUGACCCAUCUUCGCGGAAAUCAUGUUAGUGAAAAUCUCGUACCUCUCUUGUCUCGCGUUUUGGUGGUACCUCUCCAAUAAGUCUUGGUGCAUCUCGUACGGGUACAUGUCCUCGUAGGACUUUUGGAAUUCGGAGUUCAUGGUGGCAAUCAUGAUGCAAUGUACCUUCGUUGCAUCUCGCUCAUGAGUCUCAAAAGCGGUGAUUUCGGCCGGAGUAGCGAUUUCGGGGUUGAUUUUCUCGAGCUUCUCAUCGAGGACAUACUCCUUAUCCUCAUAGCGAGCAAUGGUGCGAAUGUAUCUUAUCCAUUCGCUAAAGUUCGUUCCAUCGAAGGUGACCUUUUGGCAAAGGCUCAUCAACGUGAAAGAACUAGCAGCAGCGUUGUUUGCGUUCGACAUCUACAAUUAGAAAAGGACAAAGAUAGAUUAGAAUAAGAAUCCCUAAUUAUCACCCAAUAAGAAAAUUAGGGCUAGGAUCCAACAAUAACAUUUACAUACUAGAAAAGGGAUGCCGUAAUCUAACAUGCAAAUAAAUUGAAGGUAAGUGAAUGACGAUUCACUAAUUCUCCAUCACAAAACUUAAACUAUUAGUCCUAAGUGUUUUUGAGAAUUCCUAGGUUCGGAUGAGAUUCAUUGAAACUAUUCAAUGGCAUGUUUAAAUCUCGAUAUGCCCCUCUUGUUUGUGACUGGGAUGCCGAGGAUCACAAAGCGGGUGUGAAUUACCAUGCAAAUUCACAUGGUGCCUUCAUUGUAACGAUCACCUAUUCGAUGUGCCGGUAAACCACACACGCUCCAUCGAACUAUGAUAAACAAUGAAUCACCCUUUGCCACCUUCGCUUAGAACCAAUUAGUGUGCCGGUAAACCACACACGCUCCACUAACAUCUUAGCAAGGUGCAAAGUGUAAUUUCAUGGGAUUGCAUCAAUUCACUUUUCCUAAAGUAACUAGGAUUGGGAAAUUUUAAAAUAUGUGUAGUUACUUUGUAUUUCUUAUUAUACUUUUAAUGAGAGGAUGAGGUUGCCCUAUCCUACCCGUUCGGCUAACGACCCUCCACCAAUCAAGCAAGCGGUGGGUGUGAGUGUACACCCAUUAAGCGCCAUUUUAUAGGCCGCAACCUUAUACCCACCUUAUAGAUCGGCUUCGUGAAUGAGGCCUACUAACGGUAAGACUAGCAUUUAGUUAUACAUAUAUAUAUUAUUCUAGUAAUAUCAUAUUAGUAUAGGGUUGUAUUUUAAAACUUUUAAAAUCUAGGGUUUGAAAUUUAAGUUGUCUAAAUUAAAACUUUUAAUCACAAAAGUAAAUUUCAAAACAUGAGGGUAGGUUUUAAACAUUUAAAACAUGGAGGAUCAAAUAACAAAUAAUUCCAAUUAACAAUUAAUAUCCUAAUUAUCUAUAUUUGAUUUAUUCAAGAUUUCUUUUUAAGAUAAUUACCAAAAUAAUCAAAAUAAUUAAUUAAUUAUCAUAUAAGGAAAUUAAAUAUUUAAUUAGUUGAUAAUUACCUUUAACUAGAUCAAGAUAAUAGUUAUAUUUAUCAGAAAAACGAAUUAAUGUUGAUCUAAUUAGUUUAUGGUAAGUUAAGAUAAGAUAAACACAAAGAAAUCCCGAAUCUGGCCAUUCCUGACGCCUGGACUCGCCGAGUGCACAAAUGGACUCGCCGAGUCAGGCCUACUCGCCGAGUCCACUUUGAGACUCGCCGAGUCCAUGACUCAGAAACCAAAAAAUCGAAUUUUGCAGGUUUGUUUCAGUUAAUCAAGCAACAAUUUACAGAAAACCAAGCUAGGCUCUGAUACCACUGAUGGGUUUUAGCCAUAAGAACUUUCCUAUGUGCGCAUGCAAAACCCUAAUGCUUGGAUCUAGGCUUUCUAAUAAACAUGCUUUGAAUCCAAGACUUCUAAUUACUAAUUAGGUUAAACAAGAACAUUGAAACAGAUCUAGAAUCAUACCUUUGAGUUCCUUGUUGAUCUUGAGGUCUUGGAGCUUCUAGAGUCACAAAUGUCACUCCUCUAAUGGCUUACAAACACCAAAGCAAUAAGAAUGAUUUAGGAGAGAGGAGAGGGGAGGAAUUCGACCAGAGUUCUCUUGCUUUUUCAGAAGUAUCGAAUUCCCUAUGCCAUGGGGUCUAUUUAUACUUGUAGAUUCCUUAAUGAUUACAGAUAAGUCCCUAUCAGAUAAUCU
rnacentral:lncRNA from 1 species